UUACAACAAAAUUAAAUAUUUUGUGAUGAAGAAUUGUGAACAGUGUUUAAAAGAACCAAACCUGAAUCAAUAGCCACCAAAAAUGAAAGAAGCAAACAUUUUGGGUGAAUUUCACCCCAUAGAAGUUUUUCCUAAAAUUUCAAAUUUCCACAAGGACAAAUUGUGAACAGUGUUAAGAUGUGGGGUGCAACAUAUGUUUAAAUUUCAGUUUUUAUACCCCCCCCCCACACACACACACAACACACACAUAAUAGCUUCAUAUUUUCCCCAAAAUUUAAAAUUUCAAUAAACAGAGAAUCAUAAAGGUAUCCCCGCAUGCAGCAGGGUUCCUGACAGAUGCCAUCUCACACCUCAACUACUGCAACAUUUGCUGACAGGUUAAACACAUCAUACCUUCACACCACCUUUUAGUCCAAAUGUUUUUCCACACUGACAGCUGCCUUGUAGUUUUUGGGGACUGUUCCUUCAACUUUUUGCUGUUUUUUUUGUUGCUUAUUCCAAAUAAUGUCAGUUUUAUUGCACCUCCUGCACUUCUAUUGUGUCCUUUGCCAUGUUCCUGUAGACUAGCCUUGGGUUUUCUGCAAACUGUUUAUCUGUUUUGCAUGUAUGUUCUGUCUUUGUUCCUAAUUUGUGCAGUCAAGACUUUCACUAAGACUUGAUGUUCAGCCAGGCUCCCAUCCAGUUCUUUAUCUCCAACACUAAUUUCUUUUAAUGCAACCAACAUUUUUAAGGAAGUUCUUUUUAUGGUUUAGACCUCCCAUAAAUGUUGUCAUUUGGGAGAUCUCUGCUCUUAUACGGCUGAUUUUUUUUGCUGUAAUGUCUUUUUCCAUCGUGGCAUUUCCUCUAAGUCUUGUUACUCUUUUCUCCAAAUAUUCUGGGGCUAAUUUACUACAUAAUUCACACAGUUAAACUCAGUCAGUGUGGUUCCUUCUGGGACCAGUCUAACCAAUCCCAGGUUAACUUUCUAUAGAAUACUUUUGAACAAUUUCCAAUUUCAAUUUGAUCAGUUUGGGCACUCCUGCAUGUCCAUUCUUCUUGUUUCUUCAAUGUUGCUGGCUAAUUUUUCUUCUGGUUCCCAUUACUCUGAGUACAUCUGUAUUGCUUUGUGGUUGGAUUGGUGAAUGACUCCUGAUUUGUUGGGGUGGUGAAUAACUCCUACUUCUUCUUUUGUGUGAGAGGCUGACUGCUUCUGGAGUUCUUUGCCAAAUGUGUUUGCUGAGGAGGAUUCAUUUUGGUGAUGCAAUGGUCUGUGUGAAAGGAUCAUAUGUUGUCCUUGACCAUCUCUCUUCCACUGACUCCUUUUGUAUUCAGCCUAAUGCCCUUCCUCUAGCAACUGGUGAUCAUUCAUUGGUUUUUUCUUGGGGGUUUUCCUUUAUACUUUCUAUGUGUUGUGCUAUUAAAUAUUUUAGGAUUUGAGAAGCAGUUGGUUGUACUUUUGCAGUUGUGUCUUCAGUCUUCUCUGCUGGUAGAUCCACUUCUUUUAUCCUUUCCUAAAAUACUGCUUUCCCUGCCCCCCCACCUCACUUCUCAUGUCAUGAGUAAGCAAAGCAGUGUAAGAUCUUUUUCUUCUCCUCAAUGGACCAAUUUACAAUGAUGUAGUUUCUUUUGGUCCUUU